rnacentral:rRNA from 1 species
AACGAACGCUGGCGGCGUGCCUAAUACAUGCAAGUCGAGCGAAUCUUUUGGGAGCUUGCUCCCGAAAGAUUAGCGGCGGACGGGUGAGUAACACGUGGGCAACCUGCCUAUAAGACUGGGAUAACUUCGGGAAACCGGAGCUAAUACCGGAUACGUUCUUUUCUCGCAUGAGAGAAGAUGGAAAGACGGUCUCGGCUGUCACUUAUAGAUGGGCCCGCGGCGCAUUAGCUAGUUGGUGGGGUAAUGGCUCACCAAGGCGACGAUGCGUAGCCGACCGGAGAGGGUGAUCGGCCACACGGGGACUGAGACACGGCCCAGACUCCUACGGGAGGCAGCAGUAGGGAAUCUUCCGCAAUGGACGAAAGUCUGACGGAGCAACGCCGCGUGAACGAAGAAGGCCUUCGGGUCGUAAAGUUCUGUUGUUAGGGAAGAACAAGUACCAGAGUAACUGCUGGUACCUUGACGGUACCUAACCAGAAAGCCACGGCUAACUACGUGCCAGCCGCCGCCGUAACAC